rnacentral:piRNA from 1 species
CGUGUUCAAGUUCAAAGUGUCUGA